UACGGUUACCUUGUUACGACUUCACCCCAGUCAUGAACCAUACCGUGGUAAGCUACCCCCCGAAGGUUAGUAUACCUACUUCUGGUACAGCCCACUCCCAUGGUGUGACGGGCGGUGUGUACAAGGCCCGAGAACGAAUUCACCGCGGCAUGCUGAUUCACGGUUACUAGCGAUUCCAACUUCAUGAAGUCGAGUUGCAGACUUCAAUUCGAACUGAGACCGGUUUUUUGAGAUUUGCUUACCCUCGCGAGUUCGCUGCUCUUUGUACCGGCCAUUGUAGCACGGGUGUUGCCCUAGGCAUAAGGGACACGCAGAUCUGACGUUAUCCUCACCUUCCUCCGCCUUGGAGGCGGCAGUCUCCUAUGAAAAAACAACAUAGGAUGAGGGUUGCGCUCGUUUGCUGACUUAACAGUACAUCUCAAGACACGAGCUGACGACGACCGUGCAUCACCUGUCACUCCAUUCCUUGCGGCACUCAACUAUUUCUAGCCGAUUUGGAGGAUGUCAAGCCUAGGUGAGGUGCUCCGCUUAUCAUCGAAUUAAACCCCAUGCUCCACCGCUUGUGUGGGUCCCCGUCUAUUCCUUUAAGUUUUAAUCUUGCGAUCGUACUACUCAGGCGGUGUGCUUACCGCGUUAGCUUGGACACCGAAAUGAUUGAACAUCCGACAUCGAGCACACAUCGUUUACGGCGUGGACUAC
rnacentral:rRNA from 1 species